rfam:Cupriavidus sp. TYMMa02A contig.129, whole genome shotgun sequence.
CCUGCUAUGCGACUAGCAGUAGCCUAGGGAGACGUGCGUCACUGGUAACGGUGGGGUGCGAAGCUCUCCUGACAAUGUAUCCCCCGACGUCUGGGUAUUAGUGAGCCGCGAGGCUGACUGGUAGAGACUCCGAGCAGCAAUGGGGUUGAGGGG